rnacentral:lncRNA from 1 species
AACGUAUGUUUGUCAACCUAGGAGGAAUUCUCCACACUCUUAGGAAUUCGUCACUUUGUUCUAGGAUCUACUUUAGCUCACAGAAUGAGCACAAAGAAAGGACAGAUUGUAAGUGAGGAGCUGUUGGUGAUGUGAGAGUGAUACCUGCCCAAACACACUGGAAGCCAGCGGCCAUCGGUCCUGCACAUUUCAGUCCAGAGUGCUCACUGUUACACCAGGAAGACACGUCAGUCCUGCACGUUUCAAUUGGCAGACUUCACAGAGUCACCUCUUUCCAUCUGUUACCCCAUUGCAGAACUUGUUGAGACACCCCUGAGAGGAGGUCUCCAUUGAGAGCAGUACCUAUGUCUUCCGCCUCUUGAAUUUUCUUGAUCCCUGCUCACAGGCCCACUGAUGAAUGUCUUCUUCACCUGUCCCUCAUUUCAAUAACUACCACAGUAGAGGAGCUAGUGAUGUCCUUUAUCUGGGUACUGGAAGGAGCUGUAGCAUCUUGGGAACUUGCGAGAACAAGAACAUUCCACACCACCCCUCACCUCCUCAGUCAGAAUCUACAUUUCUACAAAACCCUUGAUGAUAACCUGCCUGUGAAGGUAUCAUUGGAUGAACUUGGCUUCACUCUAUUUUCUCAACC